rnacentral:rRNA from 1 species
GACGAACGCUGGCGGCGUGCUUAACACAUGCAAGUCGAACGGAAAGGCCCUGCUUUUGUGGGGUGCUCGAGUGGCGAACGGGUGAGUAACACGUGAGUAACCUGCCCUUGACUUUGGGAUAACUUCAGGAAACUGGGGCUAAUACCGGAUAGGAGCUCCUGCUGCAUGGUGGGGGUUGGAAAGUUUCGGCGGUUGGGGAUGGACUCGCGGCUUAUGAGCUUGUUGGUGGGGUAGUGGCUUACCAAGGCUUUGACGGGUAGCCGGCCUGAGAGGGUGACCGGCCACAUUGGGACUGAGAUACGGCGCAGACUCCUACGGGAGGCAGCAGUGGGGAAUAUUGCACAAUGGGCGGAAGCCUGAUGCAGCAACGCCGCGUGCGGGAUGACGGCCUUCGGGUUGUAAACCGCUUUCGCCUGUGACGAAGCGUGAGUGACGGUAAUGGGUAAAGAAGCACCGGCUAACUACGUG